rnacentral:rRNA from 1 species
AAUAGAUACCCGGGUAGUCCACGCCGUAAACGGUGGGCACUAGGUGUGGGCAACAUUCCACGUUGUCCGUGCCGCAGCUAACGCAUUAAGUGCCCCGCCUGGGGAGUACGGCCGCAAGGCUAAAAACUCAAAGGAAUUGACGGGGGCCCGCACAAGCGGCGGAGCAUGUGGCUUAAUUCGAACGCAACGCGAAGAACCUUACCAAGGCUUGACAUACACCGGAAACAUCCAGAGAUGGGUGCCCCCUUGUGGUCGGUGUACAGGUGGUGCAUGGCUGUCGUCAGCUCGUGUCGUGAGAUGUUGGGUUAAGUCCCGCAACGAGCGCAACCCUUGUCCCGUGUUGCCAGCAGGCCCUUGUGGUGCUGGGGACUCACGGGAGACCGCCAGGGGUCAACUCGGAGGAAGUGGGGACGACGUCAAGUCAUCAUGCCCCUUAUGUCUUGGGCUGCACACGUGCUACAAUGGCCGGUACAAUGAGCUGCGAUACCGCGAGGUGGAGCGAAUCUCAAAAAGCCGGUCUCAGUUCGGAUUGGGGU